UGGCUCAGUUGAUAGAGCCUGGUGUUUGCAACGCCAGGGUUGUGGGUUCGAUUCCCAC
rnacentral:tRNA from 1 species